rnacentral:rRNA from 1 species
UAUUCUAAGGCGCUCGGGAGAACCACUCUUAAGGAACUCGACCAAUUGACCCCGUAACUUCGGAAGAAGGGGUGCUCUCGCCGUCAUGGGCAUACGCCCGGCAGCGGUUGAGAGCGGCACUGAAAUGGCUCAGGCGACUGUUUAUCAAAAACACAGGUCUCUGCUAAGUCGUAAGACGACGUAUAGGGGCUGACGCCUGCCCAAUGCCGGAAGGUUAACGGGAGAGGUUAGCGUAAGCGAAGCUUUGAACCGAAGCCCCGGUUAAUGGCGGCCGUAACUAUAACGGUCCUAAGGUAGCGAAAUUCCUUGUCGGGUAAGUUCCGACCUGCACGAAUGGCGUAACGAUCUGAGCAUUGUCUCAAGGGUGGUCCCGGUGAAGUUGUAUUACCUGUGAAGAUGCAGGUUACCCGCAGUAGGACGGAAAGACCCUGUGCACCUUCACUGCAGAUUGAUAUUGGGUUUAGUUGUGGUUUGUAUAGGAUAGGUGGGAGUCAUUGAAGCUGGCGCGUUAGCGUCGGUGGAGACAACCUUGGAAUACCACCCUGACCUUAACUGAAUUCUAACUCCGAACCCGUGAAGCCGGGCGGAGGACAGUGUCUGUCGGGCAGUUUGACUGGGGCGGUCGCCUCCCAAAGAGUAACGGAGGCGCCCCAAGGUUCCCUCAGCACGGAUGGAAAUCGUGCGUCGAGUGUAAAGGCAAAAGGGAGCUUAACUGCGAGACCAACAAGUCGAGCAGAUACGAAAGUAGGGCUUAGUGAUCAAGCGGUCCCAUAUGGAAGGGCCGUUGCUCAACGGAUAAAAGGUACGCCGGGGAUAACAGGCUGAUAACCCCCAAGAGUUCACAUCGACGGGGUUGUUUGGCACCUCGAUGUCGGCUCGUCGCAUCCUGGGGCUGAAGCAGGUCCCAAGGGUUCGUCUGUUCGCCGAUUAAAGUGGCACGCGAGCUGGGUUCAAAACGUCGCGAGACAGUUUGGUCCCUAUCCACUGCGGGCGUAGGAAAUUUGCGGGAAGCCGUCUCUAGUACGAGAGGACCGAGAUGGACAUACCCCUGGUGUUCCGGUUGUCACGCCAGUGGCAUCGCCGGGUAGCUAUGUAUGGACGGGAUAAGCGCUGAAAGCAUCUAAGCACGAAGCCCCUCCCAAGAUAAGAUUUCCCAGACCAUAAGGUCUCUAAAGGGCCCUCGAAGACUACGAGGUAAUAGGCUGGAGGUGUAAGCGUAGCGAUACGUUAAGCUGACCAGUACUAAUCAGCCCGUGCGGCUUGGUC